UGCAGAUACAACAGAAGCGGUCAGAUCAAAACGUGGUGUGCGGUGGAUGGUGCGUGCCAGUAAAAAAAUCUCGACUAAAAAUAGUUUUGCGGGACUAUAUUCAUCCUCAGCAGAUUAAAACAACCACUGAAGGCUCACACGGCCUAGAUGCGGUUUUCCGCGUGCUAAUCGAGCACCGAAGGAUUGAUGGUAAUAAUACGCGGCAUACCUAACGAUCGUCCCGUUGAGUUCUUCCUGCAUGUCCUACCUUAGAACCGAAACAUCAUACGAUACGGACAGCAAUAUUCACUUAGGUCUCGCUCAGCUCGACCUCUCAAGGUCAAAGAUAAGCGACCACAACCAUUGCCGCAGAGUAAAUCCUAACCACACUUCCAUCAUCUGAAAGCACGCCGAAUCGUGAUAAAUUCCACGCAAUACCAUCUAAUAGUGCAUCUGAUAGGUUAGAGCGAAGCAAUAGUUACGACAAAUCAUCAAAAGCCCAUCAUCAGAGGGCUCUUUUAUUUGCAGUCCAGACCCCUCAUCUUUACCAGAGCGAAGACGAUCUCGCACCAGUAAUAUCCAGAUAGCGGAGCGAGUGCGAAGCCGGACGGGCCACCACCACUCACUUUCGUCCACCAAAUUAUUCCAAAAGUCGUUAUUCUACACUAUUUAGAACUUCAAAAUUGCACCAUUUUCACGACGAUUUAUAAUAUAAAAUCAAACAAAAUAUUCAUAUACGGAUGACUCCAAAAGAAUAAAAAUGUAUGUUCGCCACCAAUAUGAUAUCACAGAUGGUCGAACUACAUUAAAAAUGAAAUGAAUUUCAUGGUGGUUUAUAGUCGAAAAUUAUCUUGGAUUUAAAAAGGCAGUGCACACUAAUAUUUAAUCUUGUUGUUUUCCAUAUAAGAACUGCGCUGAUUACGACUGGCAUAAAUUUUGAAAUCUUUUCCGUUGAAAAUACCUAUAUUGCGUGGUGUUACAACCGAUUGUUACGAAAAGUAACCGGUUCAAAAUCUUGGACUUAAAAAUAACAGCACGGUGUCUUUGUUGAACAAAUUUAUUCAAAAAAAUUCGGCAUCUGAAAAACUUCGGGAUAUGAAAGAAUGAACUUUUCCUUUCAUUUGAACGUAAAAUUUGAAUAUUCUGUCGGGGGGUCUAGAACAACUUUUUAAUUUAAAGUUUUUUGAUUGAAAACUUAAGUUUUUUAAUGAAAUUAAUUCGCAUUUUCGCAACUAAUUGAUACUAUAGACGUUCAAAAAAUACUAAAAAUGAGAAUCUGAUGAACAAUCUCAUUGUCUACAACUUCGUAGAAUGCUAUAAAUCGAUGUAAAAUCACCCGAGAAAGUUAUUAAAGUUAUUAAAAUUUAAGAAGUCGAUUAACAAGGACAUUCUCAGCAGAAAUAAUAUAUUUUCAGAUUCCUCCGGAUCUUGGGCGGAAAUGACACUUUAUGAACAAGGAGGUAUGCAAAGGUGUUGACUAA